GACGUAGGGGGCAAGCGUUGUCCGGAAUUAUUGGGCGUAAAGCGCUCGUAGGCGGAUCGAUAAGUCUGUGAAGAAAGACCCGGGCUCAACUCGGGGAACGGCAUAGAUACUGUUGAUCUUGAGACAGUCAGAGGAUGAUGGAAUUCCAGGUGUAGCGGUGAAAUGCGUAGAUAUCGGGAAGGAACACCAGUGGCGGAAGGCGAUCAU
rnacentral:rRNA from 1 species